rnacentral:rRNA from 1 species
GGGCUCAACCCACGAAGUGCGCCCGAAACUGCACCGCUCGAGUGCGGGAGGGGGGAUCGGAAUGCAGGGUGUGGCGGUGACAUGCGUUGAUAUCCUGCAGAACACCGGUGGCGAAGGCGGAUCCCUGGAACGCAACUGACGCUGAGGCGCGAAAGCUGGGGGAGCAAACAGGAUUAGAUACCCUGGUAGUCCCAGCCGUAAACGGUGCACACUUGGCGCGGCGGGAAUUCACCCCCGCCGUGCCGGAGCGAACGCGUUAAGUGUGCCGCCUGGGGAGUACGGCCGCAAGGCUAAAACUCAAAGAAAUUGACGGGGGCCCGCACAAGCGGAGGAGCAUGUGGCUUAAUUCGAUGCAACGCGAAGAACCUUACCCGGGUUUGACAUGCAGCUGCACGUCCCGUGAAAGCGGGAUUCCUUCGAGGGUGCUGCACAGGUGCUGCAUGGCUGUCGUCAGUUCGUGCCGUGAGGUGUUUGGUUAAGUCCAGCAACGAACGCAACCCCUGUGUCCGGUUGCCAGCGGGCAAUGCCUGGAACUCAGGACAGACUGCCCGUUCACACGGGAGGGAGGUGGAGACGACGUCAAGUCAGUAUGGACCUUAGGUGCGGAGCUGCACACGUGCUAGAGUGGCCCAGUACAAAGGGAGGCACCACCCGCGAGGUGAAUCACUGUUAGAUCAGCCGGUUUUCGUAUCGCUGCGGGCAUGCGCG